UUAACUCAAAUUUGUAUGCAGUUGGAACAGCGUCCUUAGCGGCAAACGUAGCCAAACGUUCCAACUUCAUAUAAAUUUGAGUUA
rnacentral:pre_miRNA from 1 species